UUUCCGUAGGUGAACCUGCGGAAGGAUCAUUACUGAGUUUUGAAUGAAGAUGUUCUGGUCUUUCGGGGCAAGUGAAUGCUUCUCUCAAUCCAUCCUACACCUGUGCACCUAUCGGGGAAGACUUGGUUCUAAGUUGGGCCACGACGGCGAUCUACAGUAACCCUUUUAUACAAAAUAACAGAUUUAGAAAGUCUUUCUUACUUGAUGCAAACUUAAAUACAUACAACUUUCAGCAACGGAUCUCUUGGCUCUCGCAAUAAUGAAGAACGCCACAUAUCG
rnacentral:misc_RNA from 1 species